CCCACCUGCCUGUAGCCUGGGAGUGUGUCGUCUGAACUGGAGCCUGAAGCACGCUGCACGGUAGCAACCAACAUUGCUAUCCAUGUUGAAUAUUGCUGCUGCAGCAGCCAGGAAUGCUGGGGAUAGAGGUCGGUGAAGACCUUGCUUGCCUGUCGAAUAAACCAAGUAAUGAGAAAAUCAAAUAAGCUGUCCAGGGACUGGUUGUGCUCAAAUUCCAUAUUGUUUUCAGGUUGUUCUUCACUGCUUUGUGUUCUUCAACUUUCUGUUCAGCCUGAUACAAAAAUAUGCAUUGUAUUGCUGUACGAUAUACCUCUGAACACAGUUCAGCUAAAAUGUCGCUUGGACAGAGCACUAUUGUUUCUUGUUUUUGUAGAGUUCUUAUUACGAUUCCCUUUUAGGUGUAUGAAACACUUCUUUUCAAUUUCAAAAGCAGCUGUGUUGGGUAUUUGAGAAUAGUGGCAGCACGACAUGAGGGUAUAAUGUGUGGGC